GAUGAACGCUAGCGGGAGGCCUAACACAUGCAAGCCGAGCGGUAUUUCUUCUUCGGAAGAGAGAGAGCGGCGUACGGGUGCGGAACACGUGUGCAACCUGCCUUUAUCUAGAGGAUAGCCUUUCGAAAGGAAGAUUAAUACUCUAUAAUAUAUUAAUUGGCAUCAAUUGAUAUUGAAAACUCCGGUGGAUAGAGAUGGGCACGCGCAAGAUUAGCUAGUUGGUGAGGUAACGGCUCACCAAGGGAAUGAUCCUUAGGCGGCAUGAGAGGGUGGUCCCACACACUGGUACUGAGACACGGACCAGAUGCCUGCGGGAGGCAGCAGUGAGGAAUAGUGGUCAAUGGGUGCAAGCCUGAACCAGCCAUCCCGCGUGAAGGAUUAAGGUCCUAUGGAUUGUAAACUUCUUUUGUAUAGGGAUAAACCUACCCUCGUGAGGGUAGCUGAAGGUACUAUACGAAUAAGCACCGGCUAACUCCGUGCCAGCCGCCGCUGUAAAAC
rnacentral:rRNA from 1 species